GUGGGGAAUAUUGCGCAAUGGAGGAAACUCUGACGCAGCAACGCCGCGUGAAGGAAGAAGGCCUUCGGGUUGUAAACUUCUUUGAUCGGGGACGAAAGAUGACGGUACCCGAGGAACAAGCCACGGCUAACUACGUGCCAGCAGCCGCGGUAAUACGUAGGUGGCGAGCGUUGUCCGGAAUUACUGGGUGUAAAGGGCGUGUAGGCGGGGGAGCAAGUCAGAUGUGAAAUUCCGAGGCUUAACUUCGGCGCUGCAUCUGAAACUGUUUCUCUUGAGUGCUGGAGAGGAAAGUGGAAUUCCCAGUGUAGCGGUGAAAUGCGUAGAGAUUGGGAGGAACACCAGUGGCGAAGGCGGCUUUCUGGACAGUAACUGACGCUGAGGCGCGAAAGCGUGGGGAGCAAACAGGAUUAGAAACCCCAGUAGUCC
rnacentral:rRNA from 1 species